rnacentral:rRNA from 1 species
AGUAACGCGUGAGGAACCUGCCUCAAAGAGGGGGACAACAGUUGGAAACGACUGCUAAUACCGCAUAAGCCACGGCUCGGCAUCGAGCAGAGGGAAAAGGAGCAAUCCGCUUUGAGAUGGCCUCGCGUCCGAUUAGCUAGUUGGUGAGGUAACGGCCCACCAAGGCGACGAUCGGUAGCCGGACUGAGAGGUUGAACGGCCACAUUGGGACUGAGACACGGCCCAG